rnacentral:rRNA from 1 species
UACAGAGGUCUCAAGCGUUGUUCGGAUUCAGUGGGCGUAAAGGGUGCGUAGGCGGCGCGGUAAGUCGGGUGUGAAAUCUCGGGGCUUAACUCCGAAACUGCAUUCGAUACUGCCGUGCUUGAGGACUGGAGAGGAGACUGGAAUUUACGGUGUAGCGGUGAAAUGCGUAGAUAUCGUAAGGAAGACCAGUGGCGAAGGCGGGUCUCUGGACAGUUCCUGACGCUGAGGCACGAAGGCCAGGGGAGCAAACGGG